rnacentral:rRNA from 1 species
CUUGGUCAUUUAGAGGAAGUAAAAGUCGUAACAAGGUUUCCGUAGGUGAACCUGCGGAAGGAUCAUUAUUGAAAUAAACCUGAUAAGUUGCUGCUGGUUCUCUAGGGAGCAUGUGCACACUUGUCAUCUUUAUAUCUUCACCUGUGCACUUUUUGUAGACCUGAGUAUCUCUCUGAAUGCUCUUUUAUUUAUUUAGCACUCAGGAUUUGAGGAUUGACUUUUAUGUCUUUUCUUAUAUUCUUAGGUCUAUGUUUUUUCACAUACCCUAAUGUAUGUUCAAGAAUGUAAUAAAUAGGCCUUUGUUGCCUAUAAACCUAUACAACUUUCAGCAACGGAUCUCUUGGCUCUCGCAUCGAUGAAGAACGCAGCGAAAUGCGAUAAGUAAUGUGAAUUGCAGAAUUCAGUGAAUCAUCGAAUCUUUGAACGCACCUUGCGCUCCUUGGUAUUCCGAGGAGCAUGCCUGUUUGAGUGUCAUUAAUAUAUCAACCUCUUUGGUUGGAUGUGGGUUUGCUGGCCUUUCUUGAGGUCAGCUCUCCUUAAAUGCAUUAGCAGACAACAUUUUGCCUAACAUUCAUUGGUGUGAUAAUUAUCUAUGCUAUUGAUGUAAGGCAAAGGUUCAGCUUCUAAUAGUCCAUUAACUUGGACAAUUUUAUUAAUGUGACCUCAAAUCAGGUAGGACUACCCGCUGAACUUAAGCAUAUCAAUAAGCGGAGG